rnacentral:rRNA from 1 species
GACGUAGGGCGCGAGCGUUGUCCGGAUUUAUUGGGCGUAAAGAGCUCGUAGGCGGCUUGUUGCGUCGACUGUGAAAGCCCGUGGCUUAACCGCGUGGUCUGCAGUCGAUACGGGCAGGCUCGAGUUCGGUAGGGGAGACUGGAAUUCCUGGUGUAGCGGUGAAAUGCGCAGAUAUCAGGAGGAACACCGGUGGCGAAGGCGGUUCUCUGGGAAUGUCCUGACGCUGAGGAGCGAAAGUGUGGGGAGCGAACAGG